ACAAGCGGUGGAUGAUGUGGAUUAAUUCGAUGCAACGCGAAGAACCUUACCUACCCUUGACAUGUCCGGAACUUGCCAGAGAUGGCUUGGUGCCCGAAAGGGAAUCGGAACACAGGUGCUGCAUGGCUGUCGUCAGCUCGUGUCGUGAGAUGUUGGGUUAAGUCCCGCAACGAGCGCAACCCUUAUCAUUAGUUGCUACGCAAGGGCACUCUAAUGAGACUGCCGGUGACAAACCGGAGGAAGGUGGGGAUGACGUCAAGCCCUCAUGGCCCUUAUGGGUAGGGCUUCACACGUCAUACAAUGGUCGGUACAGAGGGUUGCCAAGCCGCGAGGCGGAGCCAAUCCCACAAAGCCGAUCGUAGUCCGGAUUGUUCUCUGCAACUCGAGAGCAUGGAGUCGGAAUCGCUAGUAAUCGCAGGUCAGCAUACUGCGGUGAAUACGUUCCCGGGUCUU
rnacentral:rRNA from 1 species